UACGGGGGGGGGCAAGCGUUGUUCGGAAUUACUGGGCGUAAAGGGCUCGUAGGUGGCCAACUAAGUCAUACGUGAAAUCCCCAGGCUCAACCUGGGAACUGCGUCCGAUACUGGAUGGCUUGAAUCCGGGAGAGGGAUGCAGAAUUCCAGGUGUAGCGGUGAAAUGCGUAGAUAUCUGGAGGAAUACCGGUGGCGAAGGCGGCAUCCUGGACCGGCAUUGACGCUGAGGAGCGAAAGCCAGGGGAGCAAACGGG
rnacentral:rRNA from 1 species